AUUGAACGCUGGCGGCAUGCCUUACACAUGCAAGUCGAACGGUAACAGGUCUUCGGAUGCUGACGAGUGGCGAACGGGUGAGUAAUACAUCGGAACGUGCCCGAGAGUGGGGGAUAACGAGGCGAAAGCUUUGCUAAUACCGCAUACGAUCUCAGGAUGAAAGCAGGGGACCGCAAGGCCUUGCGCUCACGGAGCGGCCGAUGGCAGAUUAGGUAGUUGGUGGGAUAAAAGCUCACCAAGCCGACGAUCUGUAGCUGGUCUGAGAGGACGACCAGCCACACUGGGACUGAGACACGGCCCAGACUCCUACGGGAGGCAGCAGUGGGGAAUUUUGGACAAUGGGCGCAAGCCUGAUCCAGCCAUGCCGCGUGCAGGAUGAAGGCCUUCGGGUUGUAAACUGCUUUUGUACGGAACGAAAAGACUUCUUCUAAUAAAGGGGGUCCAUGACGGUACCGUAAGAAUAAGCACCGGCUAACUACGUGCCAGCCGCCGCCGUAAAAC
rnacentral:rRNA from 1 species